GGGGUGUCGUCUGGGUGCUAGUCACGUUCUAUUUCUUAAUCUAGGUGGUGGUUGUGUGUGUUCGCUCAGUCUGUUAAAAAAUCAUCAAGCUAAAUGUGCAUAAUCUGUGCAGAUCGGUAGAGCA